rnacentral:sRNA from 1 species
UGGUAGCCAACUUAUAGUGGCUUGCGAGAUGAAAAUAGAAAAAACAACUACGCAGGUUAAUGAUUUCCCUGGUGUUGGCGCAAUAUUCGCGCACCCCGGCUUAGGC